UCGGGAAUUUUGGGCAAUGGGCGAAAGCCUGACCCAGCAACGCCGCGUGAAGGAUGAAGUAUUUCGGUAUGUAAACUUCGAAAGAAUGGGAAGAAUAAAUGACGGUACCAUUUAUAAGCUCCGGCUAACUACGUGCCAGCAGCCGCGGUAAUACGUAGGGAGCAAGCGUUGUUCGGAUUUACUGGGCGUAAAGGGCGCGUAGGCGGCGCGGUAAGUCACUUGUGAAAUCUCUGAGCUUAACUCAGAACGGCCAAGUGAUACUGCAGUGCUAGAGUGCAGAAGGGGCAAUCGGAAUUCUUGGUGUAGCGGUGAAAUGCGUAGAUAUCAAGAGGAACACCUGAGGUGAAGACGGGUUGCUGGGCUGAUACUGACGCUGAGGCGCGAAAGCUAGGGUAGCAAACGGGAUUAGAUACCCAUGUAGUCCCUGAGCGGGCUGGCAAGGCGCAU
rnacentral:rRNA from 1 species